CCAGGGAAGCUUACUCUGGAUUGUCCUGAUCUUCCCUGCAAGAAUUUUAUGGAGUUCCUGGAGAAGCAGCUUAAAGGCUGAUGGGAAGUAUCCCAUAUUUUGGUCCUCCAGGGUUCACACUCUUCCACUGGUCUAUACUCAGCUCCUAUUGUUUCAUUAAAAAUCUCCACUUUAAUCCUGUGACCAGUGGAAUGUGUUUGACAACAUCUGUCCAAGGAACCACAGAGGAGAAGCCAUUUCUACUGUUCAUGCUUCAGAGGUAGGACAGUACCCAGUACGAGGACAGACACUGAAGCCAGAAACCAGCCCUCCAUCCCAUUUGGUAACUCCAUGACCACAAAGUAAACAACGUCUUAUGCUUUUGUCUGCUCAUCUGUAAAAUGUGAAUCAUGAUAGUGCAGUAUCACAGUAUUGUCACAGGAUGAGAAAGACUAUUUCAAGGGAUUUAGCACAGUGCCUAAGAAAGAGCAGCAGCUCUGACUAAAUGGCCCCUGCAGUCCUCCUUAGGCUCACAGCAGAACCCUGGGGGAAAAAGUCUGUGUGAACACUAAUAUCCCCUCCCUGCCCUGGAGGAUCUGAGGCUUGUGCAGAAGAAAGUGGGCUGCUGGGGCUGUCCCCUGAUCCACAGUGUGGAAUGAUCUAUAAUCCUCACUGUAGGAGAGGCUGUGAGCUCCUGUCCAUGUUCUUCCCCAGUAUGUACAAAGCAAAUAAAUGCUAAACUGCUUCAGAAGACCUGAUGGAGAGGAAGAAAGUGGGAAUGAAGGAUUUGAAAGUUAUUUCAUCUUUCUAAGUCUCAAAUUACUCAUAUUACAAUGGACAAAAUGAAUAUUACAUUACAGAAUGUUGUGAUGAUUAUAUACACGUAUGUAAUAUCAGCAAGGUGUUUCCUGGCACUCAGUGAUUUCCUCUUUGGAUCUGAGCAAUGCUAAACAUUCAGGUAAUCUCUGGUCAGUUAAGAAAAAAAGAGUACAUGACUAGGUUUCUGUAGGUCCUAAUGUGUGAGCAUAAUCCAAGUUUUCAGAGGUUGAAGAAGAAUUCCUGGGAAAUGGAGUCCAGCCCUGAGAACAAGAUGAGGAGCUGCUCCUGGUGCUCAUGUAGGGAAGGAUGCAGGUGGAUACAAACCUGAGAGGAGGAUCUGUGUGGGUUGUCUGGGUGUUGCAGAACUUCUUUUCCUUUAGUGGCCACAGUUCUUGGUCAUGCUGCUUCAAAGAAUGAAGAAGUAGAUCAGAUGAAAGAAGAGUGGUGGGCAGCAAAGCAAAGUUUAUUGAGCCGUAGUACAUAAACUCCCCAAUGGGAGGGGCCCUGUGAGAGUUGCCUACCCCCACCCCAAAGUUUCUAAGUGUAGGGGUUUUUAUGGCCUCGUUGGUGAACUGUUUUUAUCUGACGAACACUCCAUGCUCCUGUCACCCAAUCAGGUUUUUUGUUCACAAACUCAUCUACCUAUUCAGUAGUUGUUCACGUGGGAAAGGGUGGAGGGCUCCUUCCAGGGUGUGAAAAAUCCUCUCACAGGUGGUUUCCUCUCAAGGCGGGACCCCUUCUCCCUGCCUGCCUUUCUUUGUGGGAACCUUGCAAAAUGAGAUUAUCACUCAGUAGAACUAGUUGAGGUUUGAUUUUCUGCCUUUGAAACAAGAUCCUAGGUGAAGUGGAUGUUGCUGGUCCAUGAAUGAAACUUUGAGUAUCAAGGACUUGGAAUACAGAUCUAAAUAAUUUCAUUUUCAAAUAUGCCAUAAUAACCCAUAUAAGCAAUGCAAUGUCUCAAUAUGACACCUUAGAGGACAGGUGAGGCCCUGUUGAGACCCAGGCCCUCAGAUUCCUCCCACUGGGACCCACCCCAGUCAGGAAUCAUGAUGACAGGGUGUGGGGCACAAGAUCCCGAGUUCGCCUGUGGAAAGGGGCUGACUCUGUUGUGGGAGUAAUUCAUUCUGCUUCCAAAGUGUCUCUGCAUUUGAUAACACCACCUGAUUCUUAGAAAGAGAAUGUCAUGAUCUCAGGAACUAGAGGUAAACCGCAGGUAUGGUAAUUCUGUGAUCGGAUAUCCAUGUUACCAAAGGCAACAAAUUUUCUGUGAAGUAAAGGUUUUCCUCAUCCUUUGAAAGUGGACUCCUGAGUGAUGGGAGGGGACUUUUACAUUUUCAUACAUUACACUUUUUCCCUAUUUUUGAAAUCUCAUAGCCAACCAGUUACUAAUCACAAAACUCAAUUCUCAAUAAUUAUCUUUUGUUUUAUUAAUUUGUGAGGGACAUUACCUUUCUUUUCUUUAGAGAUGUAGGGAGUGUGUAUUAUCCUUCUUUUUAACCAUCUGAUCCUUAUUCAGGAUCUUUGGUUUCUUUGUAGAACCCUGGAGAACAAAGUUAGAGGCAUAUCCCCCAUGCUGGAGAUGCCUGAUGUGCUCAGGGGCCUCUUCCAAUGGGGCAGUGCUGGUUUUCUCCCAGCACUGAUCGCUGAACCUGGAGUGAUGUGCCACUUCUACCUCUAGGAUACAGGAUUUAUACAUUGGUCUCUCCUAUACCCAAAAUAGCUGAUUGUUUUCUUUGAGAUUUAAUGGUCACUGGAUUCCUUCAGGAUGGCCUCAGACACUAAUAAAAGACAUACAAUUUUUACAUUUGACAGAUUAUUGCACAACUAAAGAACUAUAAUGUCCAUGAAUAACAUCAGUAAGUAAUAAUAACCAGAAAUAUUUAUGUUAAAUGUGUACCCCUUUCUGUCUUCAUUCUGAACCAUUCAGAUACUAGACUUCCCUCUCUCCACAGUGAAAUAACAGACAAAUGGAUUUUUUUUUCUGACCUAUCCACGUUGUAUUUUCAUAGUUUCCAGACAGUUGAAUUUAGUUGGAAAUCGUGUCAGAUUGCUAUAAUUUGGACCAUAAUUGUUGAUAUCACAUGGGGCUCACUGUCUAAGCAGAAUCUAUGAUGUCUUCAUAU